UCCAGGCUGCUGCCUUCAGCCUUGCCCAAGGCAAGGGCCCCUCUCACCCCCAUCGUUAUCAGGAGCCCAUGGGCCUGGCAUUUUCAGGUCACAGGGCUCUCCAGCUCUUGUAGGUGACUAGAUCAGCUGCCCAGGAAAGCUGCAGCUGCCCAUCCUGCCAACCACCUGAGCCCCUCUCAGCAGCUUGAAACCAUGUGAGCAUCCUGGUGGCACACUGCAAGGCCAGGCUGCAAUAAUGUUUCCCAGAGCCCAAAGUUUCCAGAAAGGCCAAGGGGACCCAGGGCAGCCCUUCCCACGGCUGCCAAUUCCAACAGGAACAGGUCACCUUGGACAGUGUGCCGUGUCGGGGUCUCCAGCUUGAAGAAGGCACAAGGUCCAAAACGUCAGGAAACCUCCAAGAGGAGAAAAUCAACAUUCAGAGAGUCAAAGUGACAAGCCCUGGCACUCCCUGUGUGGCCCCAUUCCAGGGUCCUCGCACCAGCUGAUUCCUCCGCCUGGAACGCCCUUCCUCAGGUCCCUGCUCACUCUGAUGCCACCAGCCAAGGUGCUCCUGAGCAGCUGGCUGAAGUGCUGCCCCUGCCCCCAGGGCCUCUCUCCAGGCUGUCCCUCGCAGCACUCAUCCCUGCGGAGGCGAUCCCCCUUCAUUGUUUAUGUCUCCCCUGCCCUCACCCCGUUGGCUCGGCCACAGGAGAGCAGGGUCACCACAGGCCUUGGUCACCACUAUUCUCCACCCCGCAGGACAAGGCCUGCCCCGGAGCAGGCACUGCACAGACAGCUGCUGGAUGACGAUGGAACAGUCCAAAGACGCAGGAGCCCGGAUGAGACACGGCGAAAGACUCAGAGGGACAAGUAUCCUCUGGUUUGGGGGUGCAGGCCCAGCCUGAGAGUUCUCACGACCGACAUGUGCGCUCCCUGCCCAGUGGCCUCAGAGAAAGCCCCUGCCCUGCUGAGAUCAGCGCCACCCUGCCCGGCAGCCCCGGCAGUGCCAGCCCCUCCCACCCAGGCUUGCCAUCCUCUGGGGACAACAUACAAAGGCCCACUUCAGUGCAGAGCCUCAGCUCCAUCUCUAGCCUGGCGGGCCAAGCAGGGGGAAUGGAGGGGAGGGCACGCCCCACCCUUCCUCAUCCUCUGGGGCCUUUUCUAGCAUUGGGGACUUUGUCUCAGGUGUUGUACCCUGGGUGGCAGAGGAGGGGUUGUUGGCUGGCAGAGGCCCCCAUGCACCGGGUGGCAGGUGGAGGUCCAGUCCAAGAGUCGCAGGCAGUGGGAGUGGGUGGUGCUCCCCCGGCACCCACCCGUGUGUACAAGGCAGCAGGUGGUGGGCACGCCUGCAUGCUCAGGCGGCUGGGUGCCAGGUGGAGUGAGGGACAGCAAGGUGCAGACCCGGCGGGGGCAAUCCAGGCUGGGCAGCAAGGAGGGCAGUGGGCAUGGGCUUUGGGCCACACCAGGCCUGGCUUUCUGUCCUGAGACCCUCUGUGGUAAACAAGGUGCAACUCUCAAAUGGCCGUCCCAACAACCUGAACUGGUAACUUGUAACUCAAGCCUGACACCAAGGGACUGACGCUGACAACUUCAGGAUUCCCAACGCACCCCUUCUGGGCCCCUCCCCACCCAUCUCCGAGCCUUGCCCAUCCCACUGCCCACACUUCCUGAAUCUUCCAUCCCCGAGCCCACUGCUCACCAGAAUGGCAGCCGAUUCCUCAGUAGGCCCCGGACCCAGCCCCCAUGAGUCAAACAAAAGCCACAUCUGACGCUGCCCCUCCCAGCUUGGAACGGCUGCCCUCAGGAGAAAGUCCAAGUCUCCCAAGGAGGCACAGAAGUUUCUGUGUAAUCUCGCCCUCCAAUCCCCGUUCCUGUCCCUGGAGGGUUCGGCUGAGCUGCACUCCUUCAGGUCUCCCUGACCCUGGCCUGCCCCCGAGAACCCCUCACCCCACACAAGGGCUGUGGUGUCCAACGCCCCUGAGUCCUCAGCCUCAAGCCCUGAGGCCCACACAAAAGAGGUGCUCACCCUCAGUUUGUUGAAUGAAUAAAUGACCACCCCAAAUCCA